GAUCUGAAUACUGAAGGGUUGGUAGGGGACCAGAGAAUAGAGGAAGCAUUGUAGGUUCUAGAGUGGAGAAGGGACCAUCCAAAAUGGAGUUUGAAAGAGAAUUCUGGCCUUUGUGUUUAGAGUCUGGAAUUGUCAAGAGUCUGAAAGCACAGAAUAAGACUGCAGCUAGAGCAAUUUAGGCGCCAUAGUUUGUCAAAACAGAGACGGGAUCUCACUGUGUUGCCCAGGCUGGUCUCGAACUGCUGGACUCAAGUCAUCCUCCCAUCUUGGCCUCCCAAAGUGCUGGAAUUACAGUGGACAACCUUCAAUGCACUGGUACUUUGUACCCUGACCUCUACUGUGAUGAACACUCAACUUGGGCAAGGAAGUGAAAUUCUCCAAAGCAAGGAGGAGGGUGCUCUGAAUAGAUGGACCCUGAUUCUACUUACAAAACUGUGGGAAGAAACCGGAGCUUCCUCCCUCUCUGAGACAACGGUGCCACUGAGACUGCGUGAGAUGCGACGUAAAUUCUCUGCACUGUACUGCUCAUCCUCCCCACACUCCCUGCUGAGGCCUCGGCAAGGUGUAGCCUUCAAACACACAGACACAUACAGGCAGACACAUAAUACCAGACUUAUGGUUUUCCCACAGACAGUAUCCUCAGGGUAUGGGAAAGAGUAGGGGAAGACUCAGUAGUAAUAGACACCUGAAUUAGAUGUAUUGGUAAGAUAGUGGCCAUGUAACAAUCUCCUCUAAUUCAAAAGAAGCCCAAUCAUAGACCUUAUUUUCUUCUGAUAGCCCCAUAUCACCAUGCCUCUGCCUUAUCAUCAUCCCUGUCACAUCUCUCCAUAAUUCCUUCCCCAACACACCACCCCAGGCCCAGCACCUUAGCACCUGAGGCUGCUACCUGAGAAGUACGCACUGUUCUGGCUUCAUGGAGACCAUGCUCCAUUUCUGCUGUUGAAGUCUUUGAGAGACCAGGAUCAUGGGCUGAGUGCAACCUCCUCCCCAUGCCAUCUGCAGAGCCUGAAGAGGAAAACACAAAUACAAGUUGAGGCCAUCUCUUCCCCUAGGGCCUAACCUCUAAGCCUAGCAGCACAAACUCAGGAGCUGUUGUUUCAUUUAAUAAUAAAUAUGCAUCCUUGAAUUCAACGGAGGAACAUGCUCCUGGAAUUUAGAAGCAAGAGGGGCUGGGCGCGGUGGCUCACACCUGUAAUCCCAGCACUUUGGGAGGCCAACACGGGCAGAUCACGAGGUCAGGAGAUCGAGACCACCCUGGCUAACAUGGUAAAACCCUGUCUCUACUAAAAAUACAAAAAAUUAGCCGGGCGUGGUGGCAGGCACCUGUAAUCCCAGCUACUCGGGAGGCUGAGGCAGGAGAAUGGCGUGAACCCGGGAGGCGUAGCUUGCAGUGAGCGGAGAUCACGCCACUGCACUCCAGCCCGGGUGACAGAGCGAGACUCCGUCUCAAAAAAAAAAAGAAACAAGAAUUUUAGAAUAUAGAUAGUUUACUGAGUGUCCCCAUCUUGCUUCAUUUCAUUUUUGUAAACAUAAUCAGCUUCUGUCAGACUUAGGCUCAAGACUUAUAGACAGAGGAAAGUAUCUAACACAGUGAGUUUUGUUUUCUAACACAGUGAUUUUCUAAAGUAUCUGUGGUGACAAAGGAAAUUAUCUCCAGUCUAGUUCAGAAUAGAAAUGAUCAUAAUAAUCAUCUAUCAAACCUCCUCAUUUUAUAUAACAGGAAAAUGAGUUCCAGGGUCUGAGAGUUUAGUAGUUUAACCAGGAUUAAAAUUAAAUCCUCUUGAUUUUCAGUACAGUACUCUUACCAUCUCACCUGGUGACCUCUUUUACUCUGAGAGCAGGAGCUCCUCAGGAAUGUUUUACAUAUGUAAUGCUCUUUUCCCCUUAGCUUCUCUCAAAUCAUUUAAAUUUCUAAACAACCACUAAAUGCUUACCUCUUUUCAAAAUCUUUCUAGAUUGUUCAGUUGCUCUAAACUGGAUUGGUGACUCCCAAGGGGCUAUCCCCAAUCCAACUAAUUAAGUUUUCCAUUCCAAAACUGUAUAUGCCCCUGACCUACAUUUGAUACAUAUGUCCAUGGCCAAUUCAUGUCUUGAUUUGAUGAUUUGAUUCUAAUAUAUAUAUAUAUAUCUGGCUGAAGCUGAUAUUAUUCAUGUAAGUAUUGUAAGACCAGUUAUUUUCAGUAUUCCUGGGUACUUAAAUGCAGUGCUUUCAAUACCACCUCAGAUUCAUCUGGGAACUUUUAAAAAUAUAGCUUCCUGGAUGUUACCACAGAGCUGAAUCAGAAGGUUUGUGGUUGGUGCCUGGGAAUUUUCAUUUUUGAAAGGUUCCCAAAAAGUCUAAGAAAAUAUCCUUGAACAUUAUUGGGGGAAAUGGGAAAUGUUACAGUCUUCCUAAAAAACAACCUGGUAAUCUCCAAUAAAAUAAAAAAUAUAUUUAUCCUGUUGCCCAACGAUUCUAAUCCUGAGAAGAAGAAGAAAAAAAUACCAGUUCAUAACAACAUAUAUAUGAGAAUAUUUUCUACUGACAUAAUUUAUAGUAGCCAAGAACUAGAAAUAAAGUAAUGCCCACCUAUAGAAGAAUAAAUACAUUAUGGUUUAAUACCAGAUAUUGUCCAGCCACUUAAAAAGAUUGAACUGAGUUAAACUAGAUGAUUUGAAGAAAUUUUAAUGAAACAUUGUUGCAUUAAAAGGAAAAAAAUCUGUAAAAUGAUAGACAAGCAUUUGUUUAUGUAUAUGUAGGUCUACAUAGGAUUGUAUAAACAGAAAAUACAGUGUAUGCACACUAGAUAAUUACCUGGGGAAGUAGGGACUGGCUGUGAGAGAAGAGACAGGAAAAUUGUCUAUAAUAAAAACAGCAUGUGUGUUAUGUUCUUAUUUCUAUAAAAUUA
rnacentral:lncRNA from 10 species